UACGUAGGUGGCGAGCGUUGUCCGGAUUUACUGGGCGUAAAGGGGGCGUAGGCGGACUGUCAAGUCAGCGGUAAAAUUGAGAGGCUCAACCUCUUCCCGCCGUUGAAACUGGUGGUCUUGAGUGGAUGAGAAGUACGCGGAAUGCGUGGUGUAGCGGUGAAAUGCAUAGAUAUCACGCAGAACUCCGAUUGCGAAGGCAGCGUACCGGCAUCCAACUGACGCUGAGGCACGAAAGCGUGGGGAUCAAACAGG
rnacentral:rRNA from 1 species